UCUGCAACAAGCCAAGGAUCAGGAACAGUGAUUCAGAUAGUGAAAUCUGCUGCAGCAAAACAGCUGUGCAGGGCCUGGGUGGCCACAGAGAACAUGUAGGUGGUCCUCAGCAAGGGUACUUGAAAACAGUGUUUGGGAGAAAAUGGAGAGAGGGGCGAAGAGUUUAGGAAUAAGCUAAUCUACUUAUUUCCAAGGAAACCAUGGAAGUUUACAACUCCUCAUCAUAACUUCUGCCCAAAUGAGUUAAAAUACUCUAUGAGCUCUGCCCAGUAUGCAAAAAUCUGCUAUAUCAAGUUGAAUUCUGCCAGUGCAAGGGACAAGGAAUGCUUUCCUUUUUUUUUCUAACCAGUUGGAUUUAAAAAAAUAUUGUGAACCAUCUUUGGGGCCAGCAUCAUGUUAACUCCUUUGGUGAAUAUGGUGACAUAAAAGGCCUAUUACCUAGCCUUUUAGUAACCUUUCAUCUAGUUAGGACAGGAUCACUCCACAUACAAUAGCCAAGAAUAGGUCAGCUGUAGUCACUAUAUAAGAAAGUAACAAAGAAGAGACUGCAGAGGAAUGCUCUAGUUGUAGCUGAAGAAGGGUUUGUUGGCUGGUGGGAUUCGAACAGGGGAAGUGGGAAAACAUUCCACAUUUUAAAGGAAACAGUACAUACAAAGGAACAAAGAUAGAUGAAGCUUUUCCAAAUUAUCACUCCCCACUGCCAUCACACAUGCAUAGGGUCCUCCUUUCUUAUUUACCAGAACAUCUCAAAGACCACCACUUGGUCAUGGCAUACAAAUGCAGAUUGAGACAUCAUACUACAAGUGUGCUAUAUGAUGGAAAAGGCUCAGCAGGAAGAAAAUUGCAUUUAGAGCUAUUUUGUGGAAAAUGUUCAUACUGAAAAGAGGCCAAAGAUUUAAUGUAGUGAAAAGCAGUUAACAGAAUAUUCCCAAACAAGACAAAUAUUGUUUUAAAGUAUAAAAAAGUAGUUUUAAAGUAAAUACAAUCAACUCUUUAGCCUAAUAAUUUUAAGAUAAUUAUAAUCCUGUUAUACCUCAAAUUACGACUAAAAUAGUCUUCCAUUUAUCUGGCUGACAAAAACCCAAAAAGCUCCAGAAAACAAAGUUUACUCUGCAUGCUGUAGAACAACAUGAGUCUUAAAAACAGAAGUGUAAAACCUCAGGGUUGCUUUCUGAAAACAAGCUGACAGCACACGUACAAGAUUUGUUUUGUUUCAACAGACAUGGAAAACAAACAGCAUGGCUCUAGCUAAAUAUGCACAAAAAUACAGAACUGGAAGUACUUGAAAAACACAAAAGGACAAAAAUCUCAAAAUGGCAGUAAAGAACUUGAAGAAUUCUCAUAGGAUCAAUAACAAAAACACAUAAGAGAACUGAAGAAGCUGCUAAUCCCUAGGUAGUUUACCAGGUGGAAAAACAAGCAUAGGGAAAGGCACACAUUUGAAACACCAGAGGAGCCCGGAACCCCACCAACUGCUCACACCCCACCACCCCCACUGCCCACAGAGAUGCCUGCCGUACAAGACAAAAAUCCUUUAGCAUGCCUAGCUGCUGCUUGUAAAUCACAGAGAACUUGUUUGUGAUGACUGAUUUUUUUUUUUAAACUACAAUUUGUAAAGAAGGAAUCAAUACUGAAAGGAAAGAUUGAGAGAACUGGCAUUUCAUGCCUAACAAACUUUGCCUACUAUUAGCUGCAAUUUACACAUUGCUCUAAGUUUUCAUUUUUCUUCUUCAUCUUUUAUUUUUCUUUUUAAUAAAUGAUGACAGGAGAUUUUUU